GCUUUAAUUAACCGACCCAAAGAGAUCUUGAUAAUCAACCGACAGGGAUAACAUACCUCUACCAUGGGCCGACAAUUUAGGUUGGGGUGACCUCGGAGAAUAAAACAACCUCCGAGUGAUUUAAAUCUAGACUAACUAGUCGAAAGUACUACAUCACUUAUUGAUCCAAAAACUUGAUCAACGGAACAAGUUACC
rnacentral:rRNA from 1 species